rnacentral:rRNA from 1 species
UACGUAGGGGGCAAGCGUUGUCCGGAAUCAUUGGGCGUAAAGCGCGCGUAGGCGGCCCGGUAAGUCCGUUGUGAAAGUCCAAGGCUCAACCUUUGAACGCCGAUGGAUACUGCCGGGCUAGAGUCCGGAAGAGGCGAGUGGAAUUCCUGGUGUAGCGGUGAAAUGCGCAGAUAUCAGGAGGAACACCGGUGGCGAAGGCGGUUCUCUGGGAAUAUCCUGACGCUGAGGAGCGAAAGUGUGGGGAGCGAACAGG